UUUCAGACCAUACACGCAAAUCAUUUCAGCCUCCCAAAUCGCCUCCAUCUCUUUUCUCGUUCUCAACUCUGAACUUGCCCUCUCUCUGUCUCUGCGACUGCAAACUACAAGAUCUACAACAAUCAGAUCAACCUCCCAAAUCGCCUCCAUCUCUAUUCUCGUUCUCGACUUUGAACUUGCCCUCUCUCUGUCUCUGCAACUGCAAACUACAAAAUCUACAAGAAUCAGAACCCAUAUCGGCAUAUCAUUUCAAAUUGUUCAAAAUAUCAAAACCCAUAUCCUUCAAUUUCCAUUGCCCGCUGUUCCAGUUAGGGUUCGCCGUUCGCAAGCUUCAGCCUCUGGCCCGCUGCCUCUCAACUCUCAAGCCCUCUCUCUGCAACUGCUAACUUAAAUCCCAACAUUCAGAGCUGCGUUGUUUUUAAUGAUAGCUUUUGCUGUUAUACCAACCAUCUCAUUCAAGAUCCAUUAUCACCAGUUCAUUAGGAGGAGAAGGAUUAGAAUCUUAAUUGUUCUAGUCUACAACAAAUGUACGAAGACUUGGUUCGUGAUAUUUGUCGAUCAUUCCGUGGAUGACUUGUAGUUUUUAAGUUUCCAUUUCAUGCAAAUGUUAGCAUGAGAUGCCUUUUGUAGUUUUAUUUGACAAAAUGUGUAUAUUUGAUUCUAUUUAUGUAAUGUGUACAUAAGUACACCUUUUUCAUUAUAUUCAACAUGUAUAAGAUGAGGCCGAAGGCCAAUAACAUGUACCUUGUAUCCUAUGUAACUUUUAACUUCAUGAAAUAUUAAGAAAAUAUUAAAAAAAUGUCAAGUAUUGGUCUCACAAUGGUUGCAUUGGGUGUGGGAAUUCUAUUUUUAUUCUUUCAUAGGGUCUCAUUAAUCAUGUAUGAAGUGUGGUCAAGGGCUAAACGGUCAUUUGAAAUCAUUUCCUAAUUUUGGUUUUCACUUUUCUCAUUUCAAGUUAAUUUUCGCCUUUUUGGCCGUUGGGGGGUCGGAUUUUGACUCGGCCAUUUUCGGGAGUCGCGGACUAUUCCCGCGCACUCAAAAUCAUUAUUUACGUUUGCGUGAAUGAUCGUUUCCAUGAAAACCCUUUUGUUUGUGUUUUGAGUCUCCUAUGGACUUAUUUUACCUUUUUGUUGAAAAACUCGGCCCAAGGGCAUUUUAGGAAUUUCCUUUGGGAAAUAAAUUCCGUUCUCGACUCCAUCACAUAGAAAAUGUGAUUUUAAGGAGAGUUUCUUCACGACAUUUUUUCGAAAAAUGUCAUCUUGACCUCAAAAACCGCGCUCUAAACUCAAUUUUUGCAUUUUUAUUGUUUCUGUUGUUUUUUUUGCAACUUGGGUGGGUUGAAUCGGUUCAGUGUGGGCUGAACAGGUUCAAGGUGUCAUUUUGGUUCAGCUUGGGCGUACUGCCAAUGUUGAACCGGUUCAAGAAUGUUGAACCGGUUCAAGUCUUCCAGAGUUUUCAGUUUUGGACUUCCAACUUUAAUCUGACGUAACUUCUUCGUUUCAACUCGGAAUUGGUCUGUUCUUGAGUCUAAAUUGAUCGUGUCAAAGUAAGCUUUCCAAUGGUACCAAUUUCAGCUUCAGAUUAUUUUCCUAACUCAAGAUAUCAUUGUUUUAGUGAGAGGGUGUCGGAUUUGGUUCGAACCGGGAUGGGGUUCAUCCGGGAUUGCACUUCCUUUGGCCUUGGGUCUUCAUGUGAAGUUAUCAAAGGACGUUUUUAGAUGUUUUUGAUCAAAUUUGACUUGUUGAUAGUUAAAUUCCUUCCUCCUUGCGUAAAAUGACCAUUUUGCCCUUGGUCCUCUUUUCGGUGGAUGCCCUUGUCUUCGUUUUGUUUCCAUUGAGUCUCGAAACUCUUUCAAAGUCUAUUCUUGUGUCCUAGGGAUAAUGUACAUCUCUAUGGACUUAUUUUCAAGUUGCUUCCGCACCUUAUUCAUUUGGGUCCGUGACCUCAUGGAAGGUCAUCAAAGGGUCUUAGAGGUGUGUUAUGCCUUGGGAGACCAUUGUCUUGUUUCUUGCUUCCGCAUCUUGGAUCCAGUUCGGGUCAUCACUGUACACACUAGGUUGGAAAAUCCAGGGUCGUUACAUCAGCUCAUAGAAUUGAACAGCUUUGAUUUACUUCUCUGUUUUAUGUUUUCUUUUGAACAUUGGUUUGACUCAUACAUGAAUUUAUAAAGAAACUAACAGAAUAUGGCUAGUCUUAGAACUCUCAAGAUGAAUAUUUCAGCAGCUUGUGUAAAUGCAAUCUUUCAUAGUGCAUUACUUAUUAUCUUGUGGUUAAUGAAGCAUAGCCUGAUAAACCUGUCAGAAAUGAAUUAUAAGACGACAAUAAAUUUAAGAGAUGAAUUCCACUAUCUCAAUCAAGAAAUACUACACACUGAAGAACCGAUCCCUCAGUUGAAGAAGUGCUAUGAUAUUGGAAUCUAUAUGAUGGGUCAUGUGAAAAGCCAGUGAUUUAGGUCAUUUUCUUGUUUGUGGGUGAUAAUAAUUUCUAUUUGAUUCAUAAAUGACAAUCUUGUUCUUUCCAUUUUGUUAGUAGCAUACUGAAUUUGAGACUUGUGUGAUGCAUCUACAUAAUUGCUUGGAUUUUGUACCAUGAAAAAUAAGGUGGUGUUUUUGACAAGUGCAGACUGAAACUCAAGUGCUAGGUUUAGAAAUUGGUCAAUAGAAGUACUAGGAAAUUGAUAUGAUGAAACUUUGCAAAAAUCAGAUUAUGAGCACUUCACCUUCACCUACUUGAAUCAAAAUUCUAUCAAGAAAGGGAACAGUGGUGGACAAUAAAACAUGACUUAAUUUUUAUUUUUGGUUGUUAAACAUGUUAUCUGUCUGGAAAUGUAUCACUCAAGCAUAAGUCAUGGAGCAAUGUACAUAAAUUGAGGUUCAGGGAGAGAUGUGGUUGUGGUAUUACAGAUUCAAUAAAAAUUACAAUAAGAAAGAUAGGUUAUACCAUGUCUAUCCAAAUCAAACUUGUGAGAAUUGUACACUUUACUUUAUGGUGAUAUUGUUGCUUGAGCAAAUCAUUAAGUUGUAUGAUUUUUUAAAAAAUGUUUUCUGUUGUAGUUGAGAAGUUGCAUACCUGCACUUUACUUUGUGGUUCUAUUUGAAUAUAUGAGUUGCACAUUUGUUAUUUUUUAAGACCUUUUUUAUG